rnacentral:rRNA from 1 species
GGGACAACCCGCCGAAAGGCGGGCUAAACCCGCGUACAUGCCACCGGGGCAUCCCGGAGGCAGGAAAGGCUUCGGCCGGACAGGGAUGGGCAUGCGGCGCAUUAGGCAGUAGGCGGGGUAACGGCCCACCUAACCGACGAUGCGUAGGGGUUCUGAGAGGAAGGUCCCCCACACUGGUACUGAGACACGGACCAGACUCCUACGGGAGGCAGCAGUGAGGAAUAUUGGUCAAUGGUCGGGAGACUGAACCAGCCAAGCCGCGUGAGGGAGGAAGGUACAGAGUAUCGUAAACCUCUUUUGUCAGGGAACAAAGACUGGGACGCGUCCCCGGAUGAGUGUACCUGAAGAAAAAGCAUCGGCUAACUCCGUGCCAGCAGCCGCGGUAAUACGGAGGAUGCGAGCGUUAUCCGGAUUUAUUGGGUUUAAAGGGUGCGCAGGCGGUCUGUUAAGUCAGCGGUCAAAGCCCGGGGCUCAACCCCGGCCCGCCGUUGAAACUGGCAGUCUCGAGUUGGAGAGAAGUAUGCGGAAUGCGCGGCGUAGCGGUGAAAUGCAUAGAUAUCGCGCAGAACUCCGAUUGCGAAGGCAGCAUGCCGGCUCCACACUGACGCUGAGGCACGAAAGCGUGGGUAUCGAACAGGAUUAGAUACCCUGGUAGUCCACGGAGUAAAC